GCUCCGGUAGUGUAGUCCGGCCAAUCAUUUCGCCCUCUCGAGGCGAAGACUCGGGUUCGAAUCCCGGCCGGAGCA
rfam:Methanobacterium sp. AL-21, complete genome.